GAUGAACGCUGGCGGCGUGCCUAAUACAUGCAAGUCGAGCGAACAGAUGAGGAGCUUGCUCCUCUGACGUUAGCGGCGGACGGGUGAGUAACACGUGGAUAACCUACCUAUAAGACUGGGAUAACUUCGGGAAACCGGAGCUAAUACCGGAUAAUAUAUUAAACCGCAUGGUUCAAUAGUGAAAGACGGUUUUGCUGUCACUUAUAGAUGGAUCCGCGCCGGAUUAGCUAGUUGGUAAGGUAACGGCUUACCAAGGCAACGAUGCGUAGCCGACCUGAGAGGGUGAUCGGCCACACUGGAACUGAGACACGGUCCAGACUCCUACGGGAGGCAGCAGUAGGGAAUCUUGCGCAAUGGGCGAAAGCCUGACGGAGCAACGCCGCGUGAGUGAUGAAGGUCUUCGGAUCGUAAAACUCUGUUAUUCGGGAAGAACAAAUGUGUAAGUAAAUAUGCACGUGUUGACGGUACCUGAUCAGAAAGCCACGGCUAACUACGUG
rnacentral:rRNA from 1 species